AGUCAAGUAAUGAAGUGCACAUGGUGGAUGCCUUGGCAGUCAGAGGCGAAGAAAGACGUGACAGCCUGCGAAAAGCGUCGGGGAGGCGGCAAUAUCCUGUGAUCCGGCGAUAUCUGAAUGGGGAAACCCACCUAUCAUAAGAUAGGUACCCCGCUAUAUUUUAUAGCGGGGGGCAAACCGGGAGAAGUGAAACAUCUCAGUAACCCGAGGAAAAGACAUCAAUAGAGAUUCCCCUAGUAGCGGCGAGCGAACGGGGAGGAGCCGAUAGACUUUAACAUAGAGGAACAACUUGGAAAGGUUGAUCGUAGAGGGUGAUAAUCCCGUACUCGAAAUGUUUUAGGAUGCAUAUUAAGUAGGGCGGAACACGAGAAAUUCUGUCUGAAGAUGGGGGGACCAUCCUCCAAGGCUAAAUACUCCUGACUGACCGAUAGUGAACCAGUACCGUGAGGGAAAGGCGAAAAGAACCCCUGUGAGGGGAGUGAAAUAGAACCUGAAACCGUGUGCAUACAAGCAGUCGGAGCGGACAUGUUCCGUGACGGCGUACCUUUUGUAUAAUGGGUCAGCGACUUAUAUUCUGUAGCAAGGUUAACCGAAUAGGGGAGCCGUAGGGAAACCGAGUCUUAAUAGGGCGUCUAGUUGCAGGGUAUAGACCCGAAACCGAGUGAUCUAUCCAUGAGCAGGUUGAAAGUGACGUAACAGUUACCGGAGGACCGAACCCACUGUCGUUGAAAAGCCAGGGGAUGACUUGUGGAUAGGGGUGAAAGGCUAAUCAAACUCGGUGAUAGCUGGUUCUCCCCGAAAGCUAUUUAGGUAGCGCCUCGGACGAACACCAUUGGGGUAGAGCACUGUUUCGGCUAGGGGGUCAUCCCGACUUACCAAACCGAUGCAAACUCCGAAUACCGAUGAGUGAUAUCCGGGAGACAGACGGCGGGUGCUAACGUCCGUCGUCAAGAGGGAAACAACCCAGACCGCCAGCUAAGGCCCCAAAUUCCUAGUUAAGUGGGAAACGAUGUGGGAAGGCACAGACAGCUAGGAGGUUGGCUUAGAAGCAGCCACCCUUUAAAGAAAGCGUAAUAGCUCACUAGUCGAGUCGGCCUGCGCGGAAGAUGUAACGGGGCUCAAACUAGGAGCCGAAGCUGCGGAUUUAAUUGUUUCAAUUAAGUGGUAGGGGAGCAUUGUGUAAGCCUGUGAAGGUGUGUUGUAAAGCAUGCUGGAGGUAUCACAAGAGCGAAUGCUGACGUGAGUAACGACAAAACGGGUGAAAAGCCCGUUCGCCGGAAGACCAAGGGUUCCAGUCCAACGUUAAUCGGGGCUGGGUGAGUCGACCCCUAAGGCGAGGCCGAAAGGCGUAGUCGAUGGGAAAUCGGUUAAUAUUCCGAUACUUGUUUAUGAUGCGAUGGAGGGACGGAGAAGGUUAUGCCAGCUUGGCGAUGGUUGUCCAAGUGGAAGGAUGUAGUUAGGUUUAGUAGGCAAAUCCGCUAGACUAUUAAUGAGAUCUGAUAGCAAGCUGUACUUGUACAGCGAAGUGGCAAAUACCCUGCUUCCAGGAAAAGCUUCUAAGCGAUAGUCAUAAAGAAAUCGUACCCGAAACCGACACAGGUGGUCAGGUAGAGAAUACCAAGGCGCUUGAGAGAACUCUGCUGAAGGAACUAGGCAAAAUGGUACCGUAACUUCGGGAGAAGGUACGCUGCCGAUGGUGAGUAGUCACGCACUACAAAGCUAUUGGCAGUCGCAGAUACCAGGCCGCUGCAACUGUUUAUUAAAAACACAGCACUCUGCAAACACGAAAGUGGACGUAUAGGGUGUGAUGCCUGCCCGGUGCUGGAAGGUUAAUUGAUGGGGUUAGCGUAAGCGAAGCUCUUGAUCGAAGCCCCAGUAAACGGCGGCCGUAACUAUAACGGUCCUAAGGUAGCGAAAUUCCUUGUCGGGUAAGUUCCGACCUGCACGAAUGGCAUAAUGAUGGCGGCGCUGUCUCCAGCAGAGACUCAGUGAAAUCGAAAUCGCAGUGAAGAUGCUGUGUACCCGCGGCUAGACGGAAAGACCCCGUGAACCUUUACUACAGCUUUACAUUGAACUUUGACCUUACCUGUGUAGGAUAGGUGGGAGGCUUUGAAGCAGGCACGCCAGUGUCUGUGGAGCCAUCCUUGAAAUACCACCCUGGUAAUGUUGGGGUUCUAACUCAAGCUUAACAGAGCUGAGGACAAUGUAUGGUGGGUAGUUUGACUGGGGCGGUCUCCUCCUAAAGAGUAACGGAGGAGUACGAAGGUGCGCUCAGAACGGUCGGAAAUCGUUCGAAGAGUAUAAAGGCAAAAGCGCGCUUAACUGCGAGACCCACAAGUCGAGCAGAUACGAAAGUAGGUCUUAGUGAUCCGGUGGUUCUGUAUGGAAGGGCCAUCGCUCAACGGAUAAAAGGUACUCUGGGGAUAACAGGCUGAUACCGCCCAAGAGUUCAUAUCGACGGCGGUGUUUGGCACCUCGAUGUCGGCUCAUCUCAUCCUGGGGCUGAAGCAGGUCCCAAGGGUAUGGCUGUUCGCCAUUUAAAGAGGUACGCGAGCUGGGUUUAGAACGUCGUGAGACAGUUCGGUCCCUAUCUACCGUGGGCGUUGGAAAUUUGAGAGGAUCUGCUCCUAGUACGAGAGGACCAGAGUGGACGAACCUCUGGUGUUUCGGUUGUGACGCCAGUCGCAUUGCCGAGUAGCUAUGUUCGGAUGGGAUAACCGCUGAAAGCAUCUAAGCGGGAAGCCCACCUUAAGAUUAGAUUUCCCUAAAGAGCCGUUGUAGACUACGACGUUGAUAGGUUGGGUGUGGAAGCAUAGUGAUAUGUGUAGCUAACCAAUACUAAUUGCUCGUUUGGCUUGACUAU
rnacentral:rRNA from 1 species